rnacentral:misc_RNA from 1 species
UGGGGCACACGCGACACGGGGAUGCGACAGCCUACCUUCGCUCUCCCCGCCAUCAUCACUAGCAUCAAAGACUUUGUGUGAGAUAAGAGGAGAGGUAAUGGCGUGCAGCUCCUGCGCCGCUUCGGUGGUGGUGUGCGACAUCGGCACGAGCACCACUCGUCUCGGCUACGCUGGCAACGCUGAGCCAACGUUUGCGUUGCCCACCGUAUGUGCGUGGCGGGACCGCAUGUCCGCUGAAACGUUCGCAGUUGGGGACGCAGCUGCCACGAUGGUCGGGCCCGGAGUGCAGCGGCGCAGACCGCUAGAGCACGGGCUGGUGGUGGACUGGGAUGUGAUGGAGGAGUACUGGCGCCACCUCUUCAACCGCUACGCCUGCGUCGAGCCGCAAGAUGUCGGUGUGCUGCUGACCGAGGCGGCCGUCACCCCGUACGAGCAGCGAGAGAUGACAGCGGAGAUUAUGUUCGAGAGUUUCGGGGUGCCGCGACUGUGCAUCGGCUCGCAGGCGCUCUUCGUGCUCAGCAGCGUUGGCGACGGGUGCGACACAGCUGUGGUGGUGGAGAGCGGCGCUGGCGUAACGCAGGUGGUGCCCAUUGUGGCGGGUUACGCCGUGGCCGGCGCGGCGCGUCGUUUUCCUGUGGCGGGCCGGGACAUCACGCAGUAUGUUCUGAAGAGCCUGCGGGAGCACGAGCGGGGUAUCGAGGCUGAGCAAGCGCUAGAGGUGGCGGAGCGGGUGAAAACGCGCUACGGCUACACGGCAGAUGACAUCGCGCGCGAGCUUGCGCGGGCGGAAUCGAGCUUGCCUUCCUACGUGAUCCAUCACACGGAGCUACACUCGCGCACUGGGGCCCCAUACUCUAUCGACGUGGGCUACGAGAGAUUCCUCGCACCGGAGACGAUGUUUCAGCCUGAUUUGCUCGCUGCACCGUCGGCUCUCACCGCCUCCGCGUGCGGCGGCCUACCCGCCGUGAUCGACUCUGUUGUGUGGUCCUGCCCGAUGGACGGCAGGCGGCCGCUGUACGCGAAUGUCAUCGUCUCUGGCGGCAACACGCGUUUCGCUCACUUUGCGAAGCGCCUGUAUCACGGGCUGCAGCGUGCCUUGGAUGAGCGUUCCGUCGGCGUCGGGCCCGCCCCGGGCAGCACUCUGGGCCGACAAGUCAAGUACGAGGUGAACGUGCGCGAUCAUUCACAGGCAACGCAUGCCGUGUGGAGAGGGGCCAGCGCCUUCGCCGCCAGCCCAGAGUAUGCGACGGCAGCCGUCGCGCGAGAGGCGUACAUGGAGUGUGGCGCCUCCGUGAUGCGCCAGCACCGCGUCUAGCGCAGCGGAGCACUCAGGCGGACGGGGACCUAUGCAUGCGCUUCGCUUCUGUGUUGGUGGUGCUUCGGGUUGCAUAUCUCUGUGUAUGUGUGCGCACCGCAGUAUCGGCUGUCGCGUC